rnacentral:rRNA from 1 species
CAGUAGCCGCGGUAAUACGUAGGGGGCAAGCGUUAUCCGGAUUUACUGGGUGUAAAGGGAGCGCAGACGGCAGUGCAAGUCUGAAGUGAAAGGCGUGGGCUCAACCCAUGAACUGCUUUGGAAACUGUAUGGCUUGAGUGUCGGAGGGGUAAGCGGAAUUCCUAGUGUAGCGGUGAAGUGCGUAGAUAUUAGGAGGAACACCGGAGGCGAAGGCGGCUUACUGGACGACAACUGACGUUGAGGCUCGAAGGCGUGGGGAGCAAACAGGAUUAGAUACCCGCGUAGUCCCUGUCUCUUAUAC